AAGUCGUAACAAGGUUUCCGUAGGUGAACCUGCGGAAGGAUCAUUACUCUUAGCUUAAGUGGAAUCUUAAUAUAUAAUUCAUUAUAUAUUAUGUUUCUAUCUUAUUGCUAUACUCUAAACACCAAACUGUGCUCUUUUUCUUUCCACCCCAUUUAUGUGUUUUGUUGUAUACUCUGUAUGCUCAAACCAUUCACUACCAUUUCUUAAUGUAUAACUGAUUGAAUUGUGUGUUGGUGCUACGGUGUUCAUCACUGUAGUCUCCACUCACAUCUGUACUGUGUUGUCAAUCAAUAGUGUCAUGCUAUUGUUUGUUCUGCAUAGUACUUGUUGAACCACAGGAUGGCUAUCGCUAUGGAUCUAUUCAUGUAGAUGUAUGGAUGUAAGCAUUCCGUGAAAUACAACUCCGAACAAUGGAUAUCUCGGCUCUC
rnacentral:misc_RNA from 1 species